AGGACGAACGCUGGCGGCGUGCUUAACACAUGCAAGUCGAGCGGAAAGGCCCUUCGGGGUACUCGAGCGGCGAACGGGUGAGUAACACGUGAGUAAUCUGCCCCUAGCUCUGGGAUAGCUCCGGGAAACCGGGAUUAAUACCGGAUAUGACCACUUUAGACAUCUGCUGUGGUGGAAAGAAUUUCGGCUAGGGAUGAGCUCGCGGCCUAUCAGCUUGUUGGUGGGGUAACGCCUACCAAGGCGACGACGGGUAG
rnacentral:rRNA from 1 species